UAGAGGAAGUAAAAGUCGUAACAAGGUUUCCGUAGGUGAACCUGCGGAAGGAUCAUUAUUGAAUUUUGAAAGGGGUUGUAGCUGGCCUUUUCGUUUGAGAGGCAUUUUGUGCACGCCCUGAUCAUCAUCCAUUUUCACACCUGUGCACAUUCUGUAGGUCGGUUUUUUGGGGGCGAGGGUCUUUAUUGGCUUUUGCUCCUUGGGCCUUCCUAUGUUUUAUUAURAAACUACAAGUUUAAAAGGAUGUCUAUUGCAUAUAAUGCAUCUAUAUACAACUUUCAGCAACGGAUCUCUUGGCUCUCGCAUCGAUGAAGAACGCAGCGAAAUGCGAUAAGUAAUGUGAAUUGCAGAAUUCAGUGAAUCAUCGAAUCUUUGAACGCACCUUGCGCUCCUUGGUAUUCCGAAGAGCAUGCCUGUUUGAGUGUCAUGGAAUUCUCAACUCUAUUUGCUUUUUUUUGUGAAUAGAGCUUGGACUUGGAGGUUUAUUGCUGGAUACUGUGAUGUGUUCAGCUCCUCUUGAAUGCAUUAGCUUGGACCUUUUGUGGAUCAGCUUAUCGGUGUGAUAAUUGUCUACGCCGUUCUGUGAAGCAUUCUAUCUAUGGGUUUCAGCUUCUAAUAGUCCUUUGUUGGACAAAUACAUUUGACCUUUGACCUCAAAUCAGGUAGGGUUACCCGCUGAACUUAAGCAUAUCA
rnacentral:rRNA from 1 species